rnacentral:rRNA from 1 species
AUUGAACGCUGGCGGUAGGCCUAACACAUGCAAGUCGAACGGCAGCACAGUACGUGCUUCCUGUUACGGGUGGCGACUGGCGGGUGAUUCCGGGGUACAUCGGUGUCUACUUUUUCUUAGGUGCUAACAUGGGGAAUCUUACGCUAUUCCUCCAUACGAACAACGGGUGGGAUCUGGGGAUCUUAGGCCCUUGCACGAUUCUAUGUGCCGAGGUCGGGUUAGCUAGUUGGAGGGGUAAAGGCCCACCAAGGCGACGAUCCGUAGCUGGUCUGAGAGGAUGAUCAGCCACACUGGAACUGAGACACGGUCCAGACUCCUACGGGAGGCAGCAGUGGGGAAUAUUGGACAAUGGGCGAAAGCCUGAUCCAGCCAUGCCGCGUGGGUGAAGAAGGUCUUCGGAUUGUAAAGCCCUUUUAUUUGGGAAGAAAAGCAGUAAGUUAAUACCUCGCUGUUCUGACGGUACCCAAAGAAUAAGCACCGGCUAACUUCGUG